UCGAGUUUUUGAACGCAAGUUGCGCCCGAGGCCUUCUGGUCGAGGGCACGCCUGCCUGGGCGUCA
rnacentral:rRNA from 1 species